GCCAGGAAUGGUGGUGUACUCCUGUAAUCAAACUACUCGGAGGCUAGGUAUGAAGGAUGGGGAUUCUGGAAUUGGAUUUUCCACGUUGACUAGGCGUCCGCUAGGGGUAAAUUUUCAACUUGGAUGCUUUGGAAAAGGCCGAGAUAGCCUGGUUGAGUCUGAAAAGGGGAAAAAUCGGCCCAGAAGUCACCGAGUUGAGAGUCGUGAGUUCAAAUCCUGGAAGUGGGAGUUCAAUUCCAACUCAUCCAAACAAAAACAAACCUGU
rnacentral:SRP_RNA from 1 species